CAAGAUACCCUGGUGACGUGUCUUAUGUUUGACUCGGGCUGCCGCGAACACACCAUAAAAAUGCUGCACGAGACGAGAGGGCACGUCCAAGUUUGGAGUUCUGACCGCCAAGAGGGGCAUCCUGACCUCAAAAUGGGGGGGGGCCAAGGUGGGCUCCAGGCGUACUGUGCACCUUCAUCAGGUUGGCCUACCAACUACUGUGCAUGCAAACAACAAGGAAACCUGUUGUAAGUGAAGGAAUCCUUCACGCAUCACUGUCUGCGGACGUAUCGAUUUACCAGCUGUCAGAUGUGCCGAAGGACGACGCCAUAUUCAAACCAGAAUGUCCCAGACUUCUCGGUCUUCGCCCACCAAGGUGUCCUCAGGCCAGCUGUGAGACAUAAUCCCUCGAGCAUGUCCUAGGUGUGCCCCGGGGUCCCCUCCUGGCUGAACAUGUCCGGAGCAUCUCACCAGGGAGGCGUCCAGGAGACAUCCGGACUACAGUAGAUGCCCGAGCCACCUCAACUGGCCCCUCUCCAUGUGAAGGAGCAGCGGCUCCACUCUGAGCCCCUCCUGGGUGGCCGAGCUCCUCACAUUAUCUCUUGGGGUGAGUCCAGCCACCCUACGGAGAAAACUCAUCCACUCAAAAACUCAAAGUCUUUAAUAUUUCAACUUCAUGCUACUAAAAUGACAUUUUUCCUUAUACUAUUACUUGUGAAAUUAUGGCUUUUUUUCCUUGCUAGAUUACAAGUCUUUUCCUAAAAUUUUGACUUUUGAUUGAUUUUCCCAUUUUUGCUGCUGCUGUUGUUUUUCUUUGAAGUUUCCUUGUUAAAUUACAUUUUUGACUGUGCUGCGGGCUGUUAAAAUCACAGUUGCGGGCCGCAAAUGGCCCCCGGGCCGCACUUUGGACACCGCUGUACUAGACAGUGCUGCAAGUUACCAAAACCAACAAAAUUCAUGUCAUGGAGUGUCCAGCCCAAUCCCCGGACCUUAAUCCAAUGGAGAACUUGUGGGGUGACAUCAAAAAUGCUGUUUCUGCAGCAAAACCAAAACAUGUCAAUGAAUUGCGGAACGUGGUUAAAGAAUCUUGGAGUGGAAUAACGGCUGAAAGGUGCCACAAGUUGGUUGACUCCAUGCCACACAGAUGUCAAGCACUUCUAGAAAACUGUGCUCAUACAACUAAAUAUUAGUUUAGUCAUUCAAAGGAUUGCUAAAUCCUAGAAACAAACGUUUGUACAAAAUAGUUUGGAGUUUGUAAAGUCAACGACAGCCACUGCUAUUUUUUUUAACACACCCCUUUCAACCAAUUGCCCAAUUGCACAGCCUUAAGAGCGUGCGUAUCGUGAAUGCUGGGUCUUGUUGGUUUUUACUGGUAACUUGUUGGCCGUGUAGCAAUUUAAAAAUAUCCUAAAACCCUGGAUUCAUGUGGUCCCUCACAUUGGACUGCUGUUACUUUGAACGCUGCUGUACACAUCAUUUGGAAGCUCGAUAUGAAUCUCAAUUGGCAUAUACAAAAUAUUCCAUUGAUUCACAAAAGUGCCUAAAAUAAGCCUGCUAUGUGUUGUUGAUGCUGGGUUUCACAUUUGGGGAUUUUUUUAGCGAUCCCAGUUAAGUGGGUGUGUUUUGUCAGGAAGAGUUACAGUAUGUGACUUAUUACUAAAUAGUAUCUAUUUUAUGUACCACACAUUACAAGUUACAGUAUGUGACUUAUUACUAAAUAGUAUCUAUUUUAUGUACCACACAUUACAUAUGGCGGAUGUUUUAGUGGCUGCAAAGCACUGUAAAAAUCAUUCAUGCAAUCAUUUGUGGUUCUUUAACUUGAAGUUUCUUGCCAUACUGGAUUGGGUUUCAUAGUUUUGUGUGAACAUUGAAAAUGACGUCCUAUAUCAUAAAGGUGUCAAUGAGAAUAAAUAAUCCAAGGUGCCGAAAAGUACAAAACCAAAGUUUUUGCAGAUGAAUAAUGAUUUAUUCCUUUGGUUUCACGCUAGAAUUGUCGAGCUUGGUUGCGUCUUCAGCUCAAGAGGAGUACAAAUUGCUCGAUGUCAUGUUGCCAUAGCGACUCCAAAUUGUGAACAAUGUAACGAUGGGGCUCAAUGUGCAAAACUGACUGACUUCACUGACCUUUGUGUUUUUACACUAGAACUCUAUGGCGUUCUAUCAUGUCUCUGAAUUUGGGGAUUUUUUUUAUGGUUCUAAAUAAUCUUUGAUGACCCCACCAGGACAAAGCAGUAGAAAAGUUUUGUUCUUUUGUUGGCUUCUCGUCACCAUGUCGUUACCAAUGUGUUCAACUGCCAUGAAUGGUAGUAAAGGACAUUUUAAUUUCGGUUGAAUUUUCUAAACAGAAGGUAAACAACAUAUGCAGGCGGGUGGACAUUCUUGAGAUCUAUGAGUUUGAGAACAAACUCCUCCUUUUGUGUGUGCGGGUGUGCUAAAAAAGUUGGUAGAAGCUUCAAAGCAUCGGAACACCAAAUGUAGCUUUGUAUGAUAAAUAUAUCACAGGGAUUGUCUUCUGCAACACCAUGAGCUGUGUUGUCCUAUUGCGCCAGCAUGUCCUUCAAACUCUCCUCGUGAGCAGAUAAGCCGCGUCAGUGGCACCGAAGCAGCAGGCCUGCUGCAACAAGCCUGACAACUUUGCGCUGAAAGGACCAUGGGAGUUGGACGGAGGACCGCCACGUCAUGUUCCGUAAAUACAUAUUGCACCCCCGUUAAAGCACCAAGUAAAUCAGAAGUAAGCUUGGCAAAAGGGGGUGUGCACCACAAGUGUUCACACAUCUCAAUGUCAGUGAAGAAACCACCUGAUCCCAGUAAGCGCUCUUGGUGUUAGUUUGGCGUGUGACAUACACUACAUACUAGUGUAAUCAUCUCCAUUAGGCAUUCUAGUAACAAGACAGUAUUUCAUAGCUGAAACCCUGAGUAUGCUGAAUAUUUCUCCUUUCAUUUGCUCAUACUAGCAGGACCUCACAUAGUGUGUGUAUGAGGGCAAAUUCCAGUCCUGAUGCUUCUUAUUGUUUCCAGAUCUGUGCUGAGUAUCCUCCGGUUACUUUUGCUAGACUUCCCAUCUUCAUUCCCGCUCCAGGAUAGUACUCCUGUUUUACCAGGUACCAUCCAACUUGUUACUCAUUUGGGAUGGUGUCAUUCAUUAUGGGACCCCCGUAAUGAGUAGUUCAGGGCAAUAUGGCUCCACUUGGUUCGUGACCCAUGACGUGGCCAAAGUGGACGUAGGUGGGAAGAACAGCCGACACCCACAUUUACUGACCACAUGGUUUGGCAUGUGCUUGUGCAUCGGAUGGAACCUUCCUAUGUUUUUCCCCAGGGAGGCGCAGCCCUGCAGGUGGCUAAGAUGGGACCUGGCGUUUCGGGCCUUUCCAGAGAGAGGAGGAGUCUUCCUUCGGUGAGCUUCGAUCCCAGGGUCUACAUCGACGCCGCAGGGGUGUCUGGGGGCGUGCCAGGCCAGCUUCAAGCUUGUAAUCACUUGGGGACGGGCUUUUUUUUUUUGUUAGGGUGGUCCACUGUCAAUAAAAUGUAGAUUCUUCAGUAGUUCACUUACUCAAGGAGUGAGUCAGUUAUCCUUUUAGAUGUUUCAGAGCUUCAGUUAUUCAGCCAACUUGUUAGUGUAGUAUAAAUUAGGUAGCAUUCAAUAUUUUCGUGACCGUCAUUUAUAUGACGUUCCACACAGGCACCCAUAUGAAGGUUUGCAGUUAAACACAGGCUUGGUAGUUUCCAGGAAACAAUAGUUAAAUAGUGCAGCGAAGCAGCUUAGCGUCAAGCAUAGCAUUAGCUAUAGGAAGGGACCAGGCCAGCCGAGACGAUGCCCGAAAGACAUACUGUAUCUGUCAUACUGUAUCUCUCCGCCACUGCUAACAGAAAUUUCCCACCACAAGUUCAGCUGAUGGAACAAAUUUCUUUUUUUGUGGCGUGUAAGAUUUUCAUUUUGUAUUGUUUUACAAACUAAUUGACGUUGAACUAAGUCAAGGUGCCACGCACAGGCAGUGUUCCCCCGUUACAUCGAGGUUCACCUUUCGCGUACUCGCUGUGUGUUGUGUUCUGCGUCCUGGUUGGCUGAGGGAGCACCCACGCAUUGUGUUCUGCUUCCUGAUUGGCUAAGGGACUGUAGAGCAUUGUCAAUCAAUCUCCUCCGUGCCUCCCGUUCCGUACAGAAUGCGUUCGGUUUGCCAAAAUUACAUAAAUGUUCGAUCGUGAGCAGCGUGACUCUGAAGUGUAUGUUUGCAAGUUUCAUCCCCGACAUGUUGACGAAACAUUCGGUACCGCCAAAGGCACCUGCAGUCGCACCCGAGAGGCAGAGGAGGAAGGAGCAGUCGCAGCUAUAGGGCGCCGUUGCAGAAGGAGGAAGGAAGGGGGAAAAUAUGACGACAGCAGCAAAAUGUUUGACAAGGAUACAAAAACGCUACAGUACAGCAGACCGGCGCCAGGACGACGACGAGGCAGAGGAGUGAAAUACGCACGAGUCCCUGAAUCAUUUCUGGUGUCCAACCUCGUAGGUCAAUCAUUAAAAUUCAAAGGAAGGUUUGAACUUUUUUUGAGUGUUUAAACAAGAGAGAAAUGUGAUGAAAUGUUCAUGCCUGUCUGGAGAAUAGCGUAUCAAGUGUAAGGUGAGGGCUUUUACAGCCUUCAAACAUAUCAUCCUUGUAAAACAAUAAA